AGAAAGAGGGAAAGAGAAAGAAAGAGAGAAUCCCACCCCUGGGUGGCUGCCCCCAGAGUGACAGAGAUGGAAGGAAUAAUGGGGUCAUAUAGAAAGUCAGCAUACAGGCAUCCGAUCCUGGUUGCAUUAGGAACCUUUUGUUUACAAUAUCUGUAAAUUUGGAAUUUUCCCUUCUGUGCUACAAAUUCAUUUUUGUUAAGAGCAGGGGAUGUUUGAAUGUUACAUUUCUGAAAUGUUUUUUGUGUGCAUUCAUGGAAGUUGUUAACUUUGAUUUGUCAGCCUUGGGUUGCCUGAUUAUUACCUUCAGGUGAAUUCCUGAGGUUAAAUAGAGUCUAAGUAAAUAAUAAAGUGUCUCCAUUCACAAUGGACUUUUUAAAG